rnacentral:rRNA from 1 species
CUGGCUCACGAUGAACGCUGGCGGCGUGCCUAACACAUGCAAGUCCAACGGAGCUGCUUUGAUGAAGUUUUCGGAUGGAUUUAAAACACCUUAGUGGCGGACGGGUGAGUAACGCGUGGGUAACCUGCCUCACACUGGGGGAUAACAGUUAGAAAUAGCUGCUAAUACCGCAUAAGCGCACAGUUCCGCAUGGAACGGUGUGAAAAACUCCGGUGGUGUGAGAUGGACCCGCGUCUGAUUAGCCAGUUGGCGGGGUAACGGCCCACCAAAGCGACGAUCAGUAGCCGGCCUGAGAGGGUGAACGGCCACAUUGGGACUGAGACACGGCCCAGACUCCUACGGGAGGCAGCAGUGGGGAAUAUUGCACAAUGGGGGAAACCCUGAUGCAGCGACGCCGCGUGAAGGAAGAAGUAUCUCGGUAUGUAAACUUCUAUCAGCAGGGAAGAUAGUGACGGUACCUGACUAAGAAGCCCCGGCUAACUACGUGCCAGCAGCCGCGGUAAUACGUAGGGGGCAAGCGUUAUCCGGAUUUACUGGGUGUAAAGGGAGCGUAGACGGACUGGCAAGUCUGAUGUGAAAGGCGGGGGCUCAACCCCUGGACUGCAUUGGAAACUGUUAGUCUUGAGUGCCGGAGAGGUAAGCGGAAUUCCUAGUGUAGCGGUGAAAUGCGUAGAUAUUAGGAGGAACACCAGUGGCGAAGGCGGCUUACUGGACGGUAACUGACGUUGAGGCUCGAAAGCGUGGGGAGCAAACAGGAUUAGAUACCCUGGUAGUCCACACUGUAAACGAUCAUUAAUGGGUGUGGGGGGUCUAACCCCCUCCGUGCCGGAGUUUACACAAUAAGUAAUCCACCUGGGGAAGUACGACCGCAAGGUUGAAACUCAAAGGAAUUGACGGGGGCCCGCACAAGCAGUGGAGUAUGUGGUUUAAUUCGACGCAACGCGAAGAACCUUACCAGGUCUUGACAUCCAACUAACGAAGCAGAGAUGCAUUAGGUGCCCUUCGGGGAGAGUUGAGACAGGUGGUGCAUGGUUGUCGUCAGCUCGUGUCGUGAGAUGUUGGGUUAAGUCCCGCAACGAGCGCAACCCUUGUGAUUAGUUGCUACGCAAGAGCACUCUAAUCAGACUGCCGUUGACAAAACGGAGGAAGGUGGGGACGACGUCAAAUCAUCAUGCCCUUUAUGACCUGGGCUACACACGUACUACAAUGGCGUAAACAAAGGGAAGCAAGAGGGUGACCUGGAGCGAAUCCCAUAAAUAACGUCCCAGUUCGGACUGUAGUCUGCAACCCGACUACACGAAGCUGGAAUCGCUAGUAAUCGCGAAUCAGCAUGUCGCGGUGAAUACGUUCCCGGGUCUUGUACUCACCGCCCGUCA